GUAUGAUGUGUUUUGUGUAAACAGAAUUUUAUUGUAAAAACAAACUCUAUGAGCAUGGUGGCCUGAUGUUAUUAAUAUGUAAAUAGAUAUCAUGACUUACAUGCCUCCCUUUUCACAUUUCCAGGGUUCUCAGUAGUGGAAGUCAUAAUAAAUGUGUACAGUUAAUAUUUGGUUUCAUGAGGUUUUUAAAGAAGGGGUUUGUUAAUUUCUCACUUACCUGGUUUUAAACCAAAUUUUAUCCCUAAAACAUGGUGAUUUUUUUGUUUAUUAUUAUUAUAAUUAUUCUGGCUGUCAUCAGUUUUUUUUUUAUUUGUGGAGUUAAACAAAAUAUAUCCAAAAUUAAAUUAACCCCAAAAUAUAUGUUUAUUAAAGUAAUCCAUAACUGAAUUUAAAGGGAUAGUUCACCCAAAAAAAUUACAAUUCUGUCAUUAAUUACUCACCCUCAUGUUGUUCCAAACCUAUAAGACCUUCGUUCAUCUUCUGAACACAAAUAAAGAUAUUUUUGAUGAAAUCCGCUUUCUGACCCUCUAUAGACAGCAAUGUAACUGACACGUUCAAGGCCCAGAAAUACAUUAAGAACAUCAAUAAAAAUAGUCCAUGUGACAUCAGUGGUUCAACAGUAAUGUUAUGAAGCUUUUUGUGUGCAAGGAAAACAAAAAUUUAUUCAACAAUGUCUUCUCUUCCGUGACAGUCUUUGACACUUGCCAUGAUCGUACCAUGAUGCAUGUGUGUGAUUUAUUGGUAUAUCAUUGUAUGCUUGUUAAUAUUAAAACGGCACAGCAUUUAUCAAAUCUGAUUUAUUAAUUUCUUGUAACACAUCAUUCCUAUUAAUUAUUUUGAUGUACACUAGACUCUUUUGAUUUGAGUCAGUCACUGGGGCUCUUUGUAAUAAGGUAAUAAUGAAACAAAAUAGACAACAAAGUGUGCCAAAGAGUUCAUUCUGAUUUGAACAAACUAAAAGGAAACACACAAAAUCAAACCUCUUUCCCUGUGAACAAAUAUGAAUGAAAUUUGAAUAGCAAAUUCAUGACCAGGUUGUAUGUUUGACCCUUUUGUUUCUCUCUUUCAGUUUCUUUGCAAGUCAAACUGAGGACGUCACUGAAGAUCUGCAUUCUUGUUAAGGGUUGGGAACCGAGAACCGGUUCUUAUUCAGGUUCUUAAGUUUCGUUUCCAAAAACGGUUCUGGUGUGACACGUGACCAGGCGCUGUGAGCAGCCUUGCGUUGGUGUUCUGACGAAUCGAUUCGGCGUUUCCCGUGAAACAUGUCACAAACCAAAUAACAGAAACACCGCCCUGCCUCUUUAAUUACUGAGCACAUUGUUUCCAGUGAAGCGCACUCCACAGUUACAGUAACUACAUAACACACGUUUCCCACAACUGUACGCGCACGCGCCUUUGAUAACUGUGCACGUCUUUUUGUCGUUUUGUCUGCCGCCACUUAAUUACAUUAUAUUUGUCCUAUAUUCUCAUUAAUAUACAUACUGACUUCAACUUGGACCACUAAAUAAAUAGACUGCUAUUGUUAUGUAAGUAUUAGAUUAUUAGAGGGUUAGAUUAUUUAGUGUACAGGUCAUUUCAAGAGAGAUAAAUAAAGUGAUAGAAAAUAUGUAUUUUCAUGCAUUUUAAAUGUUUAAAAAUGAGGAAACCAUUCAUUUCAUCACACCAUCUCCUGACUGCAUUAUUAUUUGUAAUAUAGGGGCUUUAUGGAGUGUGUGUAUACAUGGUUAUAAGUAUAACAGUUUAUAUUUCAUUAAUUUAGGGAAAUAAACAAGUGUCUUAGCCCUCAAGGGACUAUUUGGCCAACCAGCUUAUUCCUGCUUGAAAAGCAAAAUGUUACUGAUAGUGUAAAAAACAUCAACUUUGAAGCACAUGCUGAUUGAUGGACUAGAAUUACUCAACAUUACUUACUACCUUCCAGCAACACUACAUUCAAUGAAGGUAAAAUAGUAAAAAAACAUAAUAAUAGUUCAUUUAAAUGGAAUCGGAACUGGAAAAUUUGUAUACUGUAAUACAUGUUGAAUUUUGACAUUGCCAACCUUUAAAUUAAGUUGAUAGUAAGUAAUAAACAGUAUUGAGCACUGAGUAGUUAAGUAUUGUGCAUUUUUCCUCACCACUAUUUUCUUAAUAGUUGUUUAAUGAUUUUAAUGGAAUCGGAACCUGAAAAUUUCUAACGAUACCCAACCCUACUUGUCACGUUCAGCUGAUGAUAAGACUGACACCUGAAAAAUGCUGUAAAUUUGACUGUAGAAGAGAGAAGAUUCACACGGUCUGUCAAGACAGGCUUCAACAAAACUGUUUUAGCAAACUAAAAAGGAAAUGAUAAGAGAUUGAAAUUCAUAAACUAUAAUUGCCCUUCAUUGUAUGUUAAUGUUUUUGAGAUUUCAAAUAAAGGAACAGCUGAAACUAAUCCUCUGCUGACCUCUGCAGGUCAUUAAUGUCCAUAAUUAGUUCAGAAAUAAGUUACAGCUCAUCUUGCAUGUGCUCAUGAUGACACGCUGCACGUUGUUCAGUUAUAUAGAAGCUGUUAGAGACCUAAAUAUCCUUUCACAAUGUUAUUAAUGUCAUUUCAUUUGUCAUUUGAAAACCAGAUUCCAUGAAUAAAUCGUGUUUUUAAAUAAACUGGAACUUCCGGUGUGAGCCACGUGGUGUCACUGUUUUCUUUCUCAACUUGUACAGAAAAGUCAAGACAGACUGAUAAAACUUUACAUACAAAGAUCAGGUGUGAAUAUUUAACAACAGCUUUGACAGAAGAAGUUUAUUAACUGUUGGACAUUCAAAGCAAUACACACUUGUGUGCAG
ensembl:lncRNA